CAGUCGCCGCGGGAAAACGAAGGGUGCAAGCGUUAAUCGGAAUUACUGGGCGUAAAGCGCGCGUAGGUGGUUUGGUAAGAUGGAUGUGAAAUCCCCGGGCUCAACCUGGGAACUGCAUCCAUAACUGCCUGACUAGAGUACGGUAGAGGGUGGUGGAAUUUCCUGUGUAGCGGUGAAAUGCGUAGAUAUAGGAAGGAACACCAGUGGCGAAGGCGACCACCUGGACUGAUACUGACACUGAGGUGCGAAAGCGUGGGGAGCAAACAGGAUUAGAUACCCCAGUAGUCCCUGUCUCUUAUAC
rnacentral:rRNA from 1 species